AGACUACUGCGCGCGGCCGGCUGCGCAGCGAUAGGGCGCGGCGUCUGCGCCGCCACUUUAUCCCCAGCCGCUCGGCGGCGGGGGCGGCCCGCUGGGUGGGGACGCGCGGGGAGGCGGCGCCGGGGCCCCACGUGUGCCCGGCCCCCGGGGAGGAGCGGGGCACCGCCCGCCGACCUGCCUCGCGCUUUUCCUGGCCGCGUGGGGGACCUUCACGGGGCACUGAACCGAAUUAUGGGGCCCUUCCAGCCCAUGCGCACAGUCGAGAACAGACCCUCACACUGGUCCCCGGAGCAGAAACACGCUCACUAGAACUGCAUGCACAUGUUUACAGUUGCACACGUGCGAGACUCACAUUCAGAGAGCACAGGUGUAGGCACACCCACAAGGACACAUCCUCAGGACCCUUCCCCAGAUACAAACUACACACAGAGGUACAAGUGAAUGUCACAGUUACUACAUGAAUACAAACACACAGCAUGGACGCACACGCCCUAGACACCAUGCACACAGAUAAAAACAACACACCACACACACAGUGAGUGUCAGCGCAGAAACCACAGCUCUCAUCUUACAGGGGAAAAGAUUAUUCUGGAGCCAUUUUGAAUGACCAUGAGCUGGAAACACAGAUUUAAGUUACCCCUAAUUCCAUGUUCCUAUGUGAAAGCAGUUUCGGGAAGUUUUUUGGGUUUUUUUGGUUUUUGUUUUGUUUUGUUUUUAAAAUAGUUUUACAGAACAGAUAAAGCCAUAUAUCAAGGCAAGUUUAAAAUACAUUGGUGGGUACAACAGAGAGGCAGGUAACAGUGAAAUGGGAAAGUGUUCCUAUAGGCUCAAAAUGCUAUCUGAUAGCAUUGCUAACUUUUGGAUUUGUAGAAGCUAACUAUCGUGUUAAAUCAAUAGUUAAACAGUGUUCAUCUAUUGCCUCAAGAAGUUAGUUCUAACAAAGAGGGGCAAGAAAGAAAUGGCUGUUCCUGAGGGCCCGAACUUAGCCCAAAAUAAAGUAAUUUGCCUCUGGACCUGGAACAUUCCAACCUCUCCAUAGUACUGAAACUUUAAUCAGCCAGCUAAUCUCAGCAGACACAGCUUCCCUUUAGUUUUCCACCUCAGCAGCAGAAGUAGCUCCUUUCCCCAUGUUUUUGUUCACAACAGAGAAAAACAACACACCAUAUACACCCAGAGAGCUAAAGAUGCGUGACAUUCACGCACAAGCGCUUAGAGCUCUGAGAAGAAAGCAGACAUACUGCAAGCAAACACACACACACACACACACACACACACACACACACACACACACACACACACACACACUGCAUGAAACCAUUUCCCCUAGGUGCCCCAGGAUCCAGGUCCCACUAGCACAGCUGCCUAUGUGGCUGUGGAGUCUGGAAUCCAGCACUAAAUUUACAGCCUGUCCACUGUGUCCUAUGCCUGCCACCUGUGAGUGACAGCUGCAGAGGAAGGAUGACCCCAACCCACACCCAUCUCCUCAGGCUUUCCAGGGCUUUCUUCUUGGCCAACCACUUUGCAAAAUAGCAGGGUUGAAUAGUAUCAUUGUCAGGGCAGCACAGUGGUAGUGUCCACCUAAGGGUCCUACUCUCUAGCACCGUCUGGCUUGGAACUCAUAGAUAUUUACCUGUCUGCAUCCUAAGUGCUGGGAUCAAAGAUCCGUGCCGCCAUACCCAGAAUAACAUUGGAUUUAUACAAUCAAGAAAAGGGAAUCAACAGCAAAGGAUUGGUGAGCUGCAGAAAUCCUCAUGGAUUGUUGUCUUCUCACACAGCAGAAGACGUCAGGGACCCCUUUCAUUCUGGUACUCUCACUGCAGAUAGGCUCUGUGGAAUAACAGUUCUUCCCACCCCCCUGCAUAUUUUUAAAAUGUUUUGUUACCUCUUCUGGCCAUGAUAGUGUCUAGUGAUGCCCUCUCCCAUUCUCACAGAUGAUGCCGUUUCCCUCUUAGUACUUUCAAGAUGGCUCUCUGUGUCUGGUUUUCAGAAGUUUCACCAUGUGUCUUGGUGUGGAUUCUUUAGGUUUAUUUUAUGCUUGUUCAGCUUCUCUAAUCUGAAGAAGUCAAGGUUUAUGUCUCUUGACAAAUUCAGAACAUUUUCACAUGACCAACAUUAUUAUUAUUAUUUGAGACAUGGUUUCUCUGUGU
ensembl:antisense Gm26588 predicted gene, 26588